GAUGAACGCUGGCGGCGUGCCUAAUACAUGCAAGUCGAGCGAACAGACGAGGAGCUUGCUCCUCUGACGUUAGCGGCGGACGGGUGAGUAACGCGUGGAUAACCUACCUAUAAGACUGGGAUAACUUCGGGAAACCGGAGCUAAUACCGGAUAAUAUAUUGAACCGCAUGGUUCAAUAGUGAAAGACGGUUUUGCUGUCACUUAUAGAUGGAUCCGCGCCGCAUUAGCUAGUUGGUAAGGUAACGGCUUACCAAGGCAACGAUGCGUAGCCGACCUGAGAGGGUGAUCGGCCACACUGGAACUGAGACACGGUCCAGACUCCUACGGGAGGCAGCAGUAGGGAAUCUUCCGCAAUGGGCGAAAGCCUGACGGAGCAACGCCGCGUGAUUGAUGAAGGUCUUCGGAUCGUAAAACUCUGUUAUUAGGGAAGAACAAAUGUGUAAGUAACUAUGCACGUCUUGACGGUACCUAAUCAGAAAGCCACGGCUAACUACGUG
rnacentral:rRNA from 1 species